UACGUAUGGUGCAAGCGUUAUCCGGAUUUAUUGGGUGUAAAGGGUGCGUAGACGGGAUUACAAGUUGGUUGUGAAACCCCUCAGCUCAACUGAGGAACUGCAACCAAAACUAUAAUUCUUGAGUGCAGGAGAGGAAAGUGGAAUUCCUAGUGUAGCGGUGAAAUGCGUAGAUAUUAGGAAGAACACCGGUGGCGAAGGCGACUUUCUGGACUGUAACUGACGUUGAGGCACGAAAGUGUGGGGAGCAAACAGG
rnacentral:rRNA from 1 species